GCUGCCCUGCCCCUAGAAGCUCUGCAAGUGGGGCUGCUGUGUCACACGUGCAUCAGCAGGUGGCAGAGAAGAGAGAUGCUAUCUCUAUACUCAGUGUUCUGACCUAUGAACAUCUGAAUGGUUAGCAGCCUAACGUUU
ensembl:snoRNA